UGCAUUAACCUCAGAUGUUUUAAUUUUAUCAAAUCAGUGAUAUUUCUGUUUUAAAUAGUUAUUUUACAUUACUUAAUUAUUUUAAAAUGCACAUGCAUUUGAAACAUUUCGCUUAAGGCCAACCUGUUAUUAACUGGUAGAUAAUUUUAGGUGUGAUUCCUCUCGAAGAAGACAGGGUAACACAGAAAGCAUGCACUUCAACCAAAAUGGUCUGCGACCCUGGAUGGACUUGUCAGAUGGGAGUCAUAGUGUUCCCGUCCAGUUCCGAUCACAGUUUGAAUUGUGAAUCGUUCGAUAAGGACUGCUUGCAAGUGACAGAAAACCGAUACAGCGCCAAUUCGAUGGAGGUGCACUGUAAACGCGACGGGCGCCGGGCAAGAGAUCACCGGCCGGAGCAGAGCCUCCUGGCCCUGCUGGAACGCGUCCAGAACCGUGGCCACCGUACGUGCGGCAUGCACGGAAUGGUGCCGCUCGGCACAGGACUGCGCCGCGGGGGAGGAGUUCAUCUUCAACGGAUGUGGACACUGGACAGCAGUGCGCCAAACGGUCGCAUCUUGUUCUAAUAGGCGCGCCAUCUUACAGUUAGUAUUAAUUAAUAAUUACUCACACGGACUUAUCAAGUGAUACGAGCUGUUGAUAUCAUGAUCAGUUAAACAUAUAAGCAGCAAAUGCGUGGAAAUUACUGUGAGAAAACGCUGCACAGUCAUGAGUUAGGGAGAUCCCUCAAGGUGGUCAACCACAGAUGAAUAAACCCCCCCAUCCAGUGGCGGAAGCGCCAUUGGGUUUUCGGGCUCCCAUGAGUCAGAUGCAGACCUGUGGCGCUGCAGGCCCACAGUUUAUUCAGCAUCAGUUUGACCAUAUCGGGAUAAUCAACUGCCACGUUGUCCAGCUCACAGAAUCCGCGUACAGGUCGGAUAAGCACGGGCUCAUUUACAUAUUGCAAGGUUGGUCUGCUCUAAGGCACAUUGCACGGAAGCCGGCAACGACGCAUUAACGUAACCCGAAAUAAUACCGUCUACGGGUUUGUGACUAACAUAAUCGCACUUAUUCUUAUUAACUGCAGGAUAGCAGAAAAAAUGUUAUUGCAAUGAAAGACUACAAUUUAGGGCAAUAAUUACAAUUUUAGAAUAACUUUUAUUGGUCAGACAUCCGAUCAUGCUGGGGAAGCAGCAGAAGCGGCCGAACCCUGGAAAUGCGGAAAGUACAUAUAUACCGUAAUUAUCGGAUUUGUGCCCCUCUGCAAUAAGAGCCCCCCGUAAUAAGCGCUCCUCCCCGACCCUGUUUGAAAAA